rnacentral:lncRNA from 1 species
AAAAAUUCCGAGAGUACCAAGUGGGUCGGAAAAAUGGGGUGAGAAAGCUGUCCAAAAGAAGCUGGCGAAAAAAGUACCCGGAAGUGGGCUCACGCGCGCGGCGCGUGUGGGGUAACGGCGGCGCGUGGGCGGCGCGUGGGCGCCCGUGCUGUGGUUUCCGGCGACGAAAUUUUCAGAAAAUGUGCGCCAGACACUGUGUGUCACAAUGGUGUGGGAGGUGAGUCCAAGAAACUCCCGAGGGAUGUCGAAACACUGUCGGAACAGUGUUCCGGGCAGUGGGGGUAAGGGGGGAGAAGGUGGGGUAGUGACACUUACCUGGUGGUUACCUGGGGGUGCCGGCGACCCGCCCGGUGGUGGUGGUGGAGCUGGUGGUGUGAGCUUAGAGAGAGAGAAGAGAAGAGAGAGAGGGGGAAAGAGCCGUUAACUAAUACCAACUAAAACUCAGUUCCUGCUGACUCACAAAAAGAAAAUAGUUAAGUGAUUUGGUUCGUUUGAGUUUUUUUCUAACCUUUCUAUUACCUGUUAUUGAGUUUUGGAAACAGAGUAAUAUGGGGAAAGAAAGAGAAGAUAAAAAAGUCCUACGUGAGAAUAAACAUAAUCUUG